rnacentral:tRNA from 1 species
GCCCUGAUGGUCUAGCGGUAUGAUUCUCCCUUAGGGCGGCAGUCUAUGGUGAGGGCCCAGGUUCGAAUCCUGGUUAGGGCC